rnacentral:rRNA from 1 species
UACGGAGGGUGCAAGCGUUAAUCGGAAUUACUAGGCGUAAAGCGUGCGUAGGCGGUUCGUUAAGUCUGUUGUGAAAGCCCCGGGCUCAACCUGGGAAUGGCAAUGGAUACUGGCGAGCUAGAGUGUGUCAGAGGAUGGUGGAAUUCCCGGUGUAGCGGUGAAAUGCGUAGAGAUCGGGAGGAACAUCAGUGGCUGAAGGCGACUACCUGGCCUGUUCUUGACGCUGAGGCGCGAAAGCUAGGGGAGCAAACGGG